rnacentral:rRNA from 1 species
UAACACGUAGGUAACCUGCCCAUGUGUCCGGAUAACUGCUGGAAACGGUAGCUAAAACCGGAUAGGUAUACAGAGCGCAUGCUCAGUAUAUUAAAGCGCCCUUCAAGGCGUGAACAUGGAUGGACCUGCGGCGCAUUAGCUAGUUGGUGAGGUAACGGCCCACCAAGGCGAUGAUGCGUAGCCGGCCUGAGAGGGUAAACGGCCACAUUGGGACUGAGACACGGCCCAA